UACGUAGGGAGCAAGCGUUGUCCGGAAUCAUUGGGCGUAAAGCGCGCGUAGGUGGCUUCGUAAGUCCGUUGUGAAAGUCAAAGGCUCAACCUCGGGUCUGCAGUCGAUACGAGCAAACUAGAGUGUUGCAGGGGAGACUGGAAUUCCUGGUGUAGCGGUGAAAUGCGCAGAUAUCAAGGAGGAACACCGGUGGCGAAGGCGGGUCUCUGGGCAACAACUGACGCUGAGGAGCGAAAGCAUGGGGAGCGAACAGG
rnacentral:rRNA from 1 species